CUACGGGGGGCUGCAGUGGGGAAUAUUGCACAAUGGAGGAAACUCUGAUGCAGCAACGCCGCGUGGAGGAUGACACUUUUCGGAGCGUAAACUCCUUUUAUAUAGGAAGAAGAUGACGGUACUAUAUGAAUAAGCGCCGGCUAACUCCGUGCCAGCAGCCGCGGUAAUACGGCGGGCGCAAGCGUUACUCGGAAUCACUGGGCGUAAAGAGCGUGUAGGCGGAUUAAAAAGUCAGAAGUGAAAUACUAUAGCUUAACUAUAGAACUGCUUCUGAAACUCUUAAUCUAGAAUAUGGGAGAGGUAGAUGGAAUUUCUGGUGUAGGGGUAAAAUCCGUAGAGAUCAGAAGGAAUACCGAUUGCGAAGGCGAUCUACUAGAACAUUAUUGACGCUGAGACGCGAAAGCGUGGGGAGCAAACAGGAUUAGAUACCCGGGUAGUC
rnacentral:rRNA from 1 species